UUUAAUAAUUGGUUAGUGUUUCUGUCAGUUUGGUCAGCGUUACUCAAUAGACGAUUGGUUAUUUGCUGGAUACGCCUUAAAGACUCAAAAGGUCGUGUGACAACAAGCGACAGAAGGCACACAGAAAGCCUUCUAGCUAAACAUAAAAGACUUGAAGAAGAGACUGUCAUUUCCAAAAUAAUGACUCUCUCCGGCAAAAAGCAGAACAUUUCACCACUGUACACGUGGCUUUUUACAAAACCAAAGCCUGUGGAAAAAUGACGGAAUUCACGACAACAUAAACGGCCAGUUCAGUCAGGAAGGAUUAAUGCGCCUGAGCCCCAAAGGAGAAAUAGCAGUGCCACAAGAAUUUACUUCGUUUUUUUCCUCAGGUUGAUUUCCAAACACAAACGCAGUACUUAUACAAGAGGACAGCAUCCUAUCCACGACCAGUGAUGCUCGCAACUAGUGACUCCCUGCUCGAGCGCCGCCAACUCUAGUGUACAGCUUGAUUCCAGCCAUCAGGGGGCGCUGUAUCCACUAGAAAGAGGCGAAAGGCUGAAUAUUAGUGCCGCGCUUCCCCCAGGAAACAAACUUAUUUCAGGGCAUUAGUUUGCUUCAGCUAAUUACUUACCGAGAUUAUAUACACUUGUCGUUUGUUUUCCAGAUAAAUAUUAAUAAAAUAUAUGUAUACUGAGAUGAUUGUUGUUAGGAUGCCUAUUUGUCGAAUUUUGUCUUAAAACAGUCCAGGCGAGACAAACGUGGUAAUGGGAUUCAACUGUAUUGUUCAAGUCUCCUACCCACUAGGGGGCAGUAGUUCCACAAUGUCACACCACCACACCACCACAAUGAUUAAUAACACUU